rnacentral:rRNA from 1 species
GACGAACGCUGGCGGCGUGCUUAACACAUGCAAGUCGAACGGGCCUUGUCCCCUUUUUUUUUGGGGGUGGGGUUAGUGGCGAACGGGUGAGUAACACGUGAGUAACCUGCCCCUCACUUCUGGAUAACCGCUUGAAAGGGUGGCUAAUACGGGGUGUUCUGGCCUGCUCGCAUGGGUGGGUUUGGAAAGAUUCGACCGGUUUUGGUUGUUUUGGUGGGGGAUGGGCUCGCGGCCUAUCAGCUGGUUGGUGGGGUGAUGGCCUGCCAAGGCUUUGACGGGUAGCCGGCCUGAGAGGGUGGGCGGUCACACUGGGACUGAGACACGGCCCAGACUCCUACGGGAGGCAGCAGUGGGGAAUAUUGCACAAUGGGCGCAAGCCUGAUGCAGCGACGCCGCGUGAGGGAUGGAGGCCUUCGGGUUGUGAACCUCUUUCGCCAGUGAAGAAGGUCCUGCUCUUUGUGGUGGGGUUGACGGUAGCUGGGUUAAUGAAGCGCCGGCUAACUACGU